AACGAACGCUGGCGGCAUGCCUAACACAUGCAAGUCGAACGAGACCUUCGGGUCUAGUGGCGCACGGGUGCGUAACGCGUGGGAACCUGCCCUUAGGUUCGGAAUAACUCCCCGAAAGGGGUGCUAAUACCGGAUAAUGUCUUCGGACCAAAGAUUCAUCGCCUUUGGAUGGGCCCGCGUUGGAUUAGCUAGUUGGUAGGGUAAAAGCCUACCAAGGCGACGAUCCAUAGCUGGUCUGAGAGGAUGAUCAGCAACACUGGGACUGAGACACGGCCCAGACUCCUACGCGAGGCAGCAGUGGGGAAUAUUGGACAAUGGGCGAAAGCCUGAUCCAGCAAUGCCGCGUGAGUGAUGAAGGCCUUAGGGUUGUAAAGCUCUUUUAACCGGGAUGAUAAUGACAGUACCGGGAGAGUAAGCUCCGGCUAACUCCGUG
rnacentral:rRNA from 1 species